UGAAGAAAUAUAAAUUUUAAUUACAAAAUGACUAACACUGAAGAAAUAAAUAUACUUUAAUUUAAAUAUCAGAUUUUAUUUCAUCUGAAUCAUCAGAAAAUCCAAAUACGAGAUUAAAUCAAAAAAAAAAAAAAAAUUGCAGACGUCAAAAAUAUGCAACUUGUAAUCGAAUCACGUACUUACUUGCAGAAUAGCUCUUGGAAAGGCUGGUAGUCAUCUAGAAUCAUAUUUCCCGCAAGAAUAAUACAUACAUUGCAGUAACUAACAAUGCAAUGUUUUUAUUUAUAUUAAUAUUUAAAAAUCGACCUUGAAGAUUUAAUACUCGCAUAAAAUUCGCCCACUUGACAGUAUAAUGGCAAGCUUAUUAAUUUUAUAACCAUGGUUGCAACCGGAAGCGAAAUAAAGAUAAACAUCGAAGUCUGUUUACUAUUUAUCAGCUGUGCUGCCAUCUACCGCUUCCCUGUCAUAAAUCCGCGGAAUUAUUCCACAACCAAUACAAUGGCCGCAAGGAUGUUAGCGAAGAAACAAAGAUAUCAAAUAGUCAGUAGCCAAACAAAGUAUUUGUUUUUUUGAGCAGAGCUCAAAAAAAUGACUACAAAAUAAAAAUAAAAACUAUGAGCACACACGAACAAAAAUGAACAUGAAGAAGGGUGUCAAUAAAAUUGCCCAAGAUAUACAAACUAUAUCUUGGUACUUGGUAUUGUAUAUCACGUCGAUGCUACCAUACUGCAAGCAAUUGCUGCUGUACACCCAUCCGCGUUCGACUUGCACGCUUACUGUGUCUGAUGUCUGUCGCUUUUUCAUACGCUCACAAUACUCACAUAAUUACACUUCACUCUCUCCUGUUCCACUCUCCAAAGUCUUGGAGAGGAUGUACUUACCACUUAUUAAUAUAUUUGUAUGUAUAUAUAAAGAUAUAAGCCCAAUACAUGCAUUUAUUUAUACAUAAGUGCACAUGUAUUAAACGUUAAUGUUAAAUAUUUCAAUAAAUUUUUACUCUUACGAGUAUUUCUCCGAGAUAGUAUCUCGUAACUUAUAAUAAGCUUGGCUUGCCGAUUCUCCAGCACCUGUACGCUGUGAAAUGACAACUCAUGCUUUCUAUAUUUAAAUAUUUUCAAAAUUUCAAAUUUUUAUUGGUUUUAAUUCAUGUUUAUAUAAAAGGAUGCCCCCAGAAUCUGAACCGCGAGAUUCCGCCGUCUGGGCUGAUGAUUAUCCGGAUGUGGCUCACUGGCCCUGGCCAUGUGAUUGAGGUGUAAACGUGCAAGCGGUUGGGGCUCAG
rnacentral:lncRNA from 1 species